UUUAUCACUUCAUAAUCUUACACUAGUUUCUGCCCUCCACGGCUCCACCACUACCCGCCUUCGACGAUAUCCCUUUCAUUUCUUUAACAGUGUCAUUUCUACAAACAGAGGUACACAAAGGAAAGCAUUCAAACGAACAGAAUGUCGCUUCGACCAGGUACCCGAACUGAGGUGAGAAAGAAGAGUUACAAAACGGGCGUGGAUGCGGUGGAGGCCAGGAGGAGGAGAGAGGACAAUUUGGUUGAGAUCCGGAAGAACAAGCGUGAAGACAAUCUCCUUAAAAAGAGGAGAGAAGGCCUUCUUCUUCACUCUCAACCGCCAUUGGGCGAUACCACCCAAAAUGCCGCCGCUAACGAAAAAAGGUUGGAAAGUAUUCCUUUGAUGGUACAAGGGGUGUGGUCCGAUGAUCCUGCUUCACAGUUGGAAGCUACAACGCAGUUUAGGAAGCUGUUAUCGAUAGAACGCAGUCCUCCAAUUGAUGAAGUAAUUAAAGCUGGAGUUGUUCCUCGGUUUGUAGAGUUUCUUGGAAGGCAGGAUUUGGCUCAAUUGCAAUUUGAGGCUGCCUGGGCUUUGACCAAUGUUGCCUCUGGCACAUCUGAGCACACACGAGUUGUUAUUGAACAUGGUGCCGUCCCAAUGUUUGUGCAACUUCUUAGUUCUCCCAGUGAUGAUGUUAGGGAGCAGGCUGUAUGGGCUUUAGGUAAUGUCGCGGGUGAUUCACCAAGUUGUAGAGAUCUAGUUCUUGGUAAUGGUGCACUUAUGCCAUUGUUAGCUCAGUUAAAUGAACGAUCAAAAUUAUCAAUGCUGAGGAAUGCUACGUGGACAUUAUCUAAUUUCUGCCGUGGCAAGCCACCGACUCCAUUUGAGCAGGUGAAGCCUGCUUUACCAAUUCUACGUGAACUUAUCUACUUGAAUGAUGUAGAAGUUCUGACAGAUGCUUGCUGGGCACUGUCUUAUCUUUCCGAUGGUCCAAAUGACAAAAUUCAGGCUGUGCUUGAAGCUGGGGUCUGCCCACGACUUGUGGAACUUCUAAGUCAUCCAUCACCUACAGUUCUUAUACCUGCUCUUCGGACUGUGGGAAACAUUGUCACUGGUGAUGAUAAUCAGACUCAGUUUGUGAUUGACAACAAGGUGCUCCCUCUUCUCUAUCAACUUCUCAUGCAAAAUCACAAAAAAAGCAUAAAGAAAGAAGCUUGUUGGACAAUCUCCAAUAUAACAGCUGGGAAUAGAGCUCAAAUACAGGCAGUUAUCGAGGCAAAUGUUAUUCUUCCUCUUGUACACCUUCUCCAACAUGCAGAGUUUGAUAUUAAGAAGGAGGCUGCAUGGGCCAUCUCAAAUGCAACCUCUGGAGGAACUCACGAGCAGAUUAAAUUCUUGGUGAGCCAAGGUUGCAUUAAGCCUCUCUGUGAUCUCUUAAUUUGUCCAGAUCCACGGAUUGUGACUGUGUGCCUCGAAGGGCUUGAGAACAUCCUGAAGGUUGGUGAGGCUGAUAAGGAAAUGGGAAUGAACGAUGGAAUUAAUCUAUUUGCACAAACUAUUGAUGAAUGCGAUGGGUUGGAUAAAAUUGAAAACCUUCAAACUCAUGACAACCACGAGAUUUAUGAGAAGGCUGUGAAGAUCUUGGAGAGAUACUGGGCUGAAGAAGAAGAGGAUGGACAGAAUCUCCAAGAUGGUACCGGGGAUGAAAACCAGCAAGGCUUUAAUUUUGGAGCUAAUCAGGCCAGCGCUCCACCUGGUGGCUUCAAAUUUGGUUGAAGUGUUUAGUUUUGAAAAAUUGGCUUUAGUUUUGUAGGUCUUACUACUUCCCUUGCAGUGAAAUUUUUAGACUUGUGUUUGCAUUUUCAUUGCUGCCAACGAGUCAGGGAGCUUGAAAGGGUUUUAAAUUUUAUUUAUAUUUCUAUAUUUCAUCCUACAUUCCAUUGGAAAAUAUUGCAUGUAAUAGUUAUAAAGUUUGAAAUUAGCAUUAAUGGUUUUCUUGCACUGCUAUAGCUAUAGGCAUUGAGAGGGGCAUGUCCUGUUGUGAAACAGAGGCGUUGGCCAGGCCAGUGGUAGUAGUAUAAGAACUGUUACCAUCUUAUGGUGCAAUGAAAUGAAAUUUAUCGGUG